rnacentral:rRNA from 1 species
GAUCCUGGCUCAGGAUGAACGCUAGCUACAGGCUUAAUACAUGCAAGUCGAGGGGCAUCAGGAAGAAAGCUUGCUUUCUUUGCUGGCUACCGGCGCGCGGGUGAGUAACACGUAUCCAACCUACCCUUUACUCGGGGAUAGCCUUUCGAAAGAAAGAUUAAUACCCGAUGGCAUAAUGAUUCCGCAUGGUUUCAUUAUUAAAGGAUUCCGGUAAAGGAUGGGGAUGCGUUCCAUUAGGUUGUUGGUGAGGUAACGG